rnacentral:tRNA from 1 species
GGGGUUGUGGCUCAGAGAUAGAGUGUUCGCCUAGCAUGUGUGAGGCACUGGGUUUGAUCCUCAGCACCACA